AGAGGACAGCGAGGACUUGGAGCAUGAAGAGGAACUAAAGUGUAGAAGGAAAUUGAUUCCAUCAUGGUCUCGCCAAGAAAACUUGGAUAAAAUCUUGCUAUCCAAUCAGUCUAUGGACCCAUCAGAAAUUUUCGCACGCAAUGGUUGUUUCAGUUUAUCUGAUGUUCUUGCACUCCAUGUUCCUCAACGACUAUUCAAUUAGUUGGCUGUUUGAGAAGCUGAGAAAGUACUGAAGCUAACCUAUU